rnacentral:lncRNA from 1 species
CUUCCCAUAUCAUAUCCAUUAAGGACUUAGACUUUUGAUCAGGUACUCUUCCCACAAGUUUAGGUUUAGAGCAAAUCUUAAUUCAUAAUAGUCAUGCCUAAACUUGAGAGAGAUUUCAAUUUUGAGAACUAGUCAUGGUAGAGAAACUAUUCAUCAUUUCCAUGUGAGAGCUUAUCAUGAGGGUUCAUAGCAAACUUUAUUUAUUUAUUUAGCAAACUAAAAAGAUAUAUAUAUAAGCAUAAAAUCUUUAUUUAAGUUUUUAUGAUUAUGCAUCUUUUCAUUAUUUGAGUAAAGUAUAAACACGAAUAUAAACACUUAGCUGGAUAAAUGGUGGUGCUCUCCCCCAAGCUAGAUUUUGACGUAAUUUCUUGUAAUGUAGCUAGCAGGUGGCGAAGGUGUAUUUGAAUGUCGGCAGCACCCUAACAGCGAUUAGGAUGUCGUCCGUCUGUUAGUCUUCUUUGAUCCUUGAAUUCUGUGGAGCUCAAAUAGACAACAAAGCUUUGUGGAACUGGUUAAGUGUUAACAUAAAAAUCUCUUUGCCUUUAUCAUGUUGAGCUUCCUCUAAUAAAUAUUACUCUCUUUGGUAGGAUAAUAAAUUUAUUUUUAUAUUUUUAUUUCUAUAGGACAGGAAUAUAUUUAUUUUAUUUUUACGCCACCAUAGUGAAUAUACUUAUGGGUUGUAUGCCACGAGCAUACUCACAUUGGGCUUACUAUUUUUAACAUUUUUAUUUUCUUUUCAAGAUAGCAUGAUUAACUAACAAGGCAUUUAAGGAAAGUAAAUAAUUUAAGGGAAAAGGGAAUGCAGAAAGGAUAAAUAUGGAUAACUACCGAUUUUACCUUUCGGCGAGGGUUCAAUGUUACCGUGUUCGUUCUUUAGGUGCGUCAUUUGAUUCAGGUGUGGACAUUGAUGUCUGCACCUCUUGAUACGGUGUCACCAAUGUUCUUUGUUUGCCUAGCAGUUCGAAGUGCGGCGUUGGCAGUAUCUUGCUUAGUGUGUUUGUGCUCGUAGAUCUAGGUCCUUCACUUCAAAAAUCCUCCAUAUUUCUCAAAAUAUGUCCAGCUCAUAGAGACAAGACAAAGAUCAAGUGCAUGGGUCCUGUUGGUGGAAAACACCAACAGAACCAAAUUUAUAUUUAUUCUUUACUAUCCUUAAGCAUAGGGAGCAAGACAAAGUUGAUGGGUGGUAAGUUCAUGAGUGUAGCAUUUAAAACAUUUGUCAGAUCAGUUCGCUCAAACUUAUGGAAAGAUAAUCUAUCUAUGUAUAUGUAUUUUUCUUUAUAUCUUUCCAAAGAUUGAAUGUGCAAGAUUUUAGCUCAUAUGAUUGGGAGUGUGGGAUCAUGGAAGUAGUACUAGGAACAAAGAUUAAAGGACUAAACAUCUUGAAUCAGUUGGGUUGGUUAAUUUAGAGUUAUAAAUCAUACAUGUUUGUCUCUUUAUUUAUGUGAACGCUAGAACCAAGGAUAAACUUAUAAAAAUGAUAGUCACAUACCUUAAGAUGUUACCUUAAUUGAAGAGUGAUGGUACCAUCUUACCUUGUGAAAGCUUCCCAUUCGUAAUGCCUGUGUAUCUUGUUUAUGUACUUUGUCUCCUUCCAUGGAUCAUCUCUCUAUGAUGAAUGAGCUAUGUCCUUCUUGUGAAAUUUUUAAACUUCAUGUGUCUCUCUCUUCAUCUCCGAUGUCAGUUUAUCUCAGGACUUCCCAAAUCGAUAUUGAAAGUUUUUCUGCAGGGGUUAGUCCGACAAAAUAUACCAAUGUCUACAUAAGUAGUUUUUAGUUCAAUAACCGAACUAGACUCCAUGUCUAAUCAGAUUAAGGAAGGCUGUUUAACCUAAGCACCAUGCUUAAUUUAAAAGCCAAUAGAAGUAUGUGCAGUACUUCCAAACUAACACUUACUAGGAUAAACAAAGGUAGCGUGAUGACUUUUAUAGAGAUCUACUCAAGUGGAGAUGAAGUAGUGUGAUUAGUAUUUAACAAAUUGAGCAUGUCUCAAAGGUAGGGACAACUUACAUAGCAACAUGGCAAAGGAUGUUUUUAUGUAAGGUACUCCUCCAAGCUUGAAUUUUGCA